AGUGAACGCUGGCGGUAGGCCUAACACAUGCAAGUCGAACGGCAGCACAGUAAGAGCUUGCUCUUACGGGUGGCGAGUGGCGGACGGGUGAGGAAUACAUCGGAAUCUACUUUUUCGUGGGGGAUAACGUAGGGAAACUUACGCUAAUACCGCAUACGACCUACGGGUGAAGGCAGGGGAUCUUCGGACCUUGCGCGAUUGAAUGAGCCGAUGUCGGAUUGGCUAGUUGGCGGGGUAAAGGCCCACCAAGGCGACGAUCCGUAGCUGGUGUGAGAGGAUGAUCAGCCACACUGGAACUGAGACACGGUCCAGACUCCUACGGGAGGCAGCAGUGGGGAAUAUUGGACAAUGGGCGCAAGCCUGAUCCAGCCAUACCGCGUGGGUGAAGAAGGCCUUCGGGUUGUAAAGCCCUUUUGUUGGGAAAGAAAAGCAGCAGGUUAAUACCCCGCUGUUCUGACGGUACCCAAAGAAUAAGCACCGGCUAACUUCGUG
rnacentral:rRNA from 1 species